rnacentral:misc_RNA from 1 species
GAUGAAGAACGCAGCGAAAUGCGAUACGUAGUGUGAAUUGCAGAAUUCAGUGAAUCAUCGAAUCUUUGAACGCACAUUGCGCCCUUUGGUAUUCCAAAGGGCAUGCCUGUUCGAGCGUCAUUUGUACCUUCAAGCUUUGCUUGGUGUUGGGCGUUUUUUGUCUCCCUCUUUCUGGGAGACUCGCCUUAAAACGAUUGGCAGCCGGCCUACUGGUUUCGGAGCGCAGCACAUAUUUUGCGCUUUGUAUCAGGAGAAAAGGACGGUAAUCCAUCAAGCCUCUACAUUUUUAACUUUUGACCUCGGAUCAGGUAGGGAUACCCGCUGAACUUAAGCAUAUCAAUAAGCGGAGGA